rnacentral:lncRNA from 1 species
GCUGCUCACAGAUACCACUGCCUGUGUGUAACUGCCGUAGAACACUGAGGCAGGCCAGAGAGCGGAUAGGUGCUAAGCACCAGUGACAUUCUGAGGUCAUGGCACGCAUCACAAUGGGGCCUUGCCCGGGUCAGCAGCGCCCAGAGUCAGGGUCCUCCGCUGCCUGAGGCGUCAACAUGCCUGCCUGCAAUGUGUUUGUGCACGUGCGUGCACACGUGGCCUAGGGGAUGCCAAAUUCCAGGGUCCAGAAAGAGCUUGGGAUAAAAUGAAACUUCAAGGGGACGGCUUUGACCUGGGCUGAGUCUGCCUGUGCCGAGUCUGCCUGUGCCAUCCAACUGGAGUCUCAAGUCCUGAGGCAGGACGUCCAGAUGCCCCAGUGCAGGGUCCUCCUGAUCAACACCUGUCCCCCUGUACUCAUUAGCAACCUCACCCACCCUACUCUCAAAGCACACUUGGCUCUCAUAUCCAGGAGCUCUGCAUCUGUAGAUUCAGCAACAGCAGAUGGAAAAUAUUCAGAAAAUAAAUUGGAUGGUUAUAUUUCUAUUGAACAUGUGCAGACUUUGUUCUUGUCAUUAUUCCCUAAAGAAUACAGUAUCAUGACCAUUUAUGUAGCAUCUG